rnacentral:misc_RNA from 1 species
AGUGCAAGAGAGGAAUAUGAGGAGCAGGAAGAUGAAGAUGGUGAUAAUAGGAAACUAGAGUUUGCUAUGGAAAUGCAAAAGCUAAACCUGAAAUUCUUAUUGCAAACUUUUGGGGAUGUUCUUGAAAACAGGAAAGAUAAAGGAGCCACAAAAAGCGUGGGAACUAUAAGCAAGUGGCAGAAUUUUAAGAGCCAUGAUAGUGAAUUCAGCUAUUGUAAUCCUAUAAGUCUCAUGGAAGAUGAAAGGGAAAUAUCAAGAAGGGAAAGG